AAUAUGACAGAUUUAUUCAUGAAUAUGAAACUAAGUUGUAUGAGUUAUACACUCACUUAUAUAAUUUUUAUAGUUAAUAGAUCUUCCCCUUACUAAGUGAAAGGAGUAUUUGUUUCUCCAUGGGGUGGGAACUCUUUGUACCAUACUGGUACUUUAAUAGAUGGUCUAAUUGAUAUCAACCCAAUUAAUUUACCAGGUCUACCACGUGUUCUAAAUUGGUUAGACAUUAUACCCAUUUGAAUUGCCUUCACUCCUGAGUCUCUGAGUGUCAGGUUCAAGCUGCUGACCGACGAGGUUCCUUAUGCUUGCGAACCAGUUAGAUUCUAUACACAUAUGAAUCUUCCCCAUAUUCGAAUAUCUGAAUGUCAGACUCAAGCUGAUGAUAUAUGAGGUAUGGUCCUCGCUGUAUCAAUCAAGUCCCAUUGAAAUAUUGAAACGUUGUUCAUACAUCUUUGAAUGACCUUUUAUGUGCUGACAAUAUGUUCUGAAAUGAAGAGAUUUUACCCCUGAUGAAGUAUUGGAACAAGACGAAACGCGUUGGGUUAUUUAUCUAUCUAUUAUCUGAUGUUACCUCCGAAUCUACAAUAAGGAGAAGGAGGAAAUCGUAGUGAUAUAUCUACGCUUUUUCCUCAUCACUACAAACUGAUUGUUCAAAUUGUGCGACAAAUGUAAAUGUAUCAACUCUGUAUACUUAUGAACAUUUGUG